rnacentral:lncRNA from 1 species
CUGCUAUCCGACACUGCCUCCUGGGAAUAAAUAUUAUUAAAAUAUUCUAAUUUAAGGGUUCAUAUUUGAUGAUGUAAUUGUUUGUCCAUUUCAGACAGAUCACACGUGAGAAGAGAGAAAGUUCGCCCUCACCGAUUUUCAGAUGAGUCAGAUAAUGGUAAGCUAUGAAUUAGUCCCAAUAAGCCUGUGAUUGAGCUAGAACAGUAGCUUAUACACAGCCAUUUAUUAAAAUUAAAAUAGCUUCACAGUUCAUCACUACACACCUCCAAACUUCAUGUAGCUUCAGAUUAGAUCAACAACAGUUGAGUGUAGAGAGACUCAUGGAAUUGGAAUGGAAUUAGAUUAAAAUGUUUAUUUUUUAAGAGAUCAUGUAUAUUUGAUUAUGUUUGUGUUCUUCAAUGUUUUGUGUAUGACAGAGUGGGAGAAUUCCAAAAAUGAGCGAACCACAAAGAAGAUUAAAAAUAAUCCAGAUUCCAGUGGAAAAGAUUCGAAUGCUGAUCAUCCAAAGAUGAAGAGACCUUGGACUAUGGACGAAAAAACAGCUGUGUGGCGUCAUUUUGAUAAACAUUUGACCCUUGGAAGGAUUCCAGGCAAAAGAGAAUGUGAUUCAUGUCUAUCAGCUGAAAAGACUUUGAACCAGAGGUCAUGGAGGGAUGUGAAAAACUUUGUUUAUAAUUCAAUUGUGAGUAGGAAAAGAAAAGUUGAGAAAAAACAGCAAAACUGGUGAGUUACAAUGGUUACUACUGGCUGACAUAGUUUGGAGGGGUUUUUUUUGUAGAAAAAGAAAAGUUGAGAAAAAAAAGCACAACUAGUGAGUUACAAUGGUUACUGCUGGAUGACGUAGUUUGUAGUGUUUUCUGUAGUACUAAGUAAUCAAGUUCGUACUAAAACUUCGUACUUCGUACUUUUUUUUGCACUGUAAGGCGCAUCGUAUUAUAAGGUGCACUAUCAAAAAACAUCUAUUUUCUUGUCUAUUUCAAUACACAAGUAGCACCCGAUUAUAAUGUGCAUUACGCGACACUAGUAAGGAACAGGGAUAUCACCAUGUUCCCCUUCUAAUUCAGCAGAUCUCUAGUAAAUCUAAGCUAAAAAUAAUAAUAAUAAAUAAAUAAAUAAAAAAAUUUCA